AGAGUUUGAUCCUGGCUCAGAACGAACGUUGGCGGCAUGGAUUAGGCAUGCAAGUCGAGGGAAUCCCAGCAAUGGGGGAACCGGCGUAAGGGGCAGUAAGGCAUGGGUACCUACCCUGAAGUUCGGGAUAGCCAUCAGAGAUGGUGGGUAAUACCGGAUGAUGUCGUGAGACCAAAGAUUUAUCGCUUUGGGAGGGGCCCAUGUGAUAUUAGCUAGUUGGUGAGGUAACGGCUCACCAAGGCAAAGAUGUCUAGCGGGUAUGAGAGUACGACCCGCGCCACUCGCACUGAGACACUGGCGAGACACCUACGGGUGGCUGCAGUCGAGGAUCUUCGGCAAUGGGCGAAAGCCUGACCGAGCGAUGCCGCGUGCGCGAUGAAGGCCUUCGGGUUGUAAAGCGCUUUAGUGGGGGAGAAAAGCCCGAAAGGGUUUGAUCUAUCCCAAAAAUAAGCUCGGGCUAAGUUCGUGCCAGCCGCCGCGGUAAUUC
rnacentral:rRNA from 1 species